rnacentral:rRNA from 1 species
CCUACGGGAGACAGCAGUGGGGAAUAUUGGGCAAUGGGCGCAAGCCUGACCCAGCAACGCCGCGUGAAGGAAGAAGGCUUUCGGGUUGUAAACUUCUUUUGUCAGGGACGAAGCAAGUGACGGUACCUGACGAAUAAGCCACGGCUAACUACGUGCCAGCAGCCGCGGUAAUACGUAGGGGGCAAGUGUUAUCCGGAUUUACUGGGUGUAAAGGGAGUGUAGGCGGGACUGCAAGUCAGAUGUGAAAAGCACGGGCUCAACCUGUGGACUGCAUUUGAAACUGUAGUGCUGGAGUGCUGGAGAGGCAGGCGGAAUUCCUAGUGUAGCGGUGAAAUGCGUAGAUAUUAGGAGGAACACCAGUGGCGAAGGCGGUCUGCUGGACAGCAACUGACGUUGAGGCGCGAAAGCGUGGGGAGCAAACAGGAUUAGAUACCCUUGUAGUC